AAAGUCGUAACAAGGUCUCCGUUGGUGAACCAGCGGAGGGAUCAUUACCGAGUUAUCAACUCCCAAACCCCUGUGAACAUACCCAACGUUGCUUCGGCGGGACCGCCCCGGCGCCCUCGGCGUCCCGGAACCAGGCGCCCGCCGGAGGACCCAAACUCUUGUUUAAACCAUAGUGGCAUAUUCUGAGUCUCACAAGAAAAAUGAAUCAAAACUUUCAACAACGGAUCUCUUGGCUCUG
rnacentral:misc_RNA from 1 species